GGGGAGGCGGCUGAUUGAAACAGAAAGUGAAGUUGUUCUUUUGUUCAGGAUCCAUUUUGACACGACAGAGCAGAAAACAGUAUAUGGAGAUUAUUGAAAAAUAAAGGGUCAGUGCUCUAAAAUGAGUCUCUCUGGUGAGAGAGAGGAGGGGGGCCCUGCCUCUAAAAUGCAUCUCUCUGGGGGACAUGACACCAAAGCUAAGAGCGCCCGGCCCGGGAUUCAAACCAGCCACCUUUCGACCACAGGUCCAACUCCUGCCACAGCUCCAACUCCUUAGCCGCUGGGUGAAAACCUGAGUUAAUCUUCAGAAAUAAGCAUGAGUUAAUCUGACAAAAUGAAGACCAAAUGCUAUGCAGACAUACAUGGUAUCACUUGUUAUACAUAAUUAUUAGACAUAAAUCACUGCCAAAAGCACAAUACAUACUGUUGCAUGUAGGUCUAUAAUAUUUAUGGUUUGAUUAUAUAGAAAUAUCAAACAUUAUUUUUAACCACUCUUGUAAGGGGUGCGUAACUGGUGGCAGUGAAGUCAGACACAGGAGAGCAGAUCUAAGUAAUAGCCGGAGCAGUUUAAUUUCAAAUCCAAUGUCAUAAAGAAAUAACCAACAUGAGUACAAAACCUGACACGCACCAGUAAACACGUGCACAAGCACUUACAACAAACAAUUCCACACAAAGACAUGGUGGGGAACAGAGGGUUAAAUACACAACACGUAAUGAUGGAAAUGAGAACCAGGUGUGUAGGAAAACAAGACAAAACAAAUGGAAAAUGAAAAGUGGAUCGAAGAUGGCUAGAAGACUGGUGACGCCGACCGCUGAAUGCCGCCCGAACAAGGAGAGGAACCGACUUCGGUGGAAGUCAUGACAACUCCCAAAGCAAUUACAUGUGGCGCAGGAACCACUGACUCGAUGCAUUAUUCUAUAGUAUUAUCAAGACACCUGCUGUUAACUCUUAAAUACUUAGGACAGCUCACGAGUUGUCCUAAAUAUCUGCUGACUAGGUGGGACUAGAGACUUCAUGCAUAGCUUUAAUUUAUACCCAUAAGUGUAAAAUGUCUUUAUUCUCAGCACUUAUACGAACAAUUUUCUACUCUGAGACGCUUUGUGGAUAUGGGCCCAGUCCUCAAAAUAUUGUUAUAAAAAAACUUUGAAUGUUUGUUGAACAUAAUAAUAAAAAAAUGAAUAUUACUAAUGUAACCCACUGUGAAGACUGGGUUUAGUUGAUUGUGUUGCACUGAUCAUGUCCGCAUUCUGGAACUUCCCGCGUUCCCGAACAGAACUGCCUGCGUCCACGUCCAGUGUGGCGCCAAGCAUAUUGUCCGGAUAUGCGCAGAGUGGGCUGAGGUGAUCUUGGGGAACAACGACAGAGUUUGUUACAGUGUUGAAACGCCUAAUAUUAUUGUUCAAUUUGCUUUUUGCUUUACGGUCAGGGACAGUAUGAGUGUAGCUAGAUCCUUUUCACUCUCUAUCCUUGUUUCAAUUUGUGGUUCACUGGAUUUGUCAUCAUCCUCGAGAUGAGGGACAGACGAAUGACCUGCUAGCUGGCCAAGCUAGUCGGUACAGCUCGGUAAGCUAGCUAGCUACUCUACCAGCAGCAUCCUAGUUAUCCAAGCUAGUCGGUACAGCUCGGUAAGCUAGCUAGCUACUCUACCAGCAGCAU